AUCUAAGGAACUCAGUGACGGGAUAAACUCAGCCUUGGCAGUAAUUCAUAGCAAUUGCAGGAGGCGAGCUGCUAAUGUGGGCUUGAUAUCUCGAGAGAUGUUUCCUCGUCUCUCUUUCUCUCUUUCUCACUUCCUGACCUCAUCCGUCCUUUAAAUUCUCGUGCGGUCAUCUACCCGUGGAAUAUUUACCAAAAAAAGAAACAACCCUUUCGGAUACUUUUAACGAGGAAUGUAGAUUCUAAUUAGUGGCAACUCGACGAAUAAUUAUAUCUCGAAUGGCGGAAAUUUAGCGGAAUGUUCUGGGGCCUAACGGCGAAUCCGAAGUUUCAGCCUUCGACGGCAAUGGCGGCAAAUCCCACGCUCGUUUCUACCUAAAUAUUUCCUAACGAUCUACGCUAUUCAUUAGGUAUUAUCUCCAACUUGGUAUUUCGAUCGUUUGUGUUCGUAUAUGUUACAUCCUACGAUUCAUUAACUCUACCAUUCCAUCAUUCAUUUGAUUUGAUGCGAAAAAUAUCCUUUUGCCAUGGAAAAAUUAUUAAAUUUUAAAUAAGUAAUUAUAUCUCUGACGGCAAAUACGUAAGUUGAAAAUAUAAAUGAUAAAAUAACAUGCGGAAUCUUUAUAUUCAUAAAUGUGAUGUGAGUGUUUUAGGGAUGCUCGUGUAAAGGAUUAUUUGUCGACAAAAUCUGAGAAAGCAGAAUCCUCGGUAAUCUUUUAGAAGGCUUUUAGAUUUAUUUUUACUUGAAGAAUAUCCCUUGAAAAAGAACUUGCUCGUAAUUUUCAAGAAAAAUUGUUAAAUUAAAUCAAAAUAUUUGAGUAUUUUUAAAAUUGAAAACAAUUACUUAAUAAUAUUCAAUUUCAAUGAUUCUUUCAUAUAAAUGAACAUUUUUCAUAUAUUUCAUUUACAAAACGAUCAAUUCGAAUUUCAAUGUACUUGAGAUAUCCGGAAGAGAAUGAGUAUAAGUUCGAUUAUCGGAGAAAAAAAGAACAAAAACCUUAAGGAACUUUAAGAUUCAAUAAGAUUCACAAAAAGAAAGAAAGAGAGAAAGAGAGAGAGAGAGAGAGAGAGAGAGAGAGAAAGAGAGAGAGAGAGAGAGAAAGGAACAAGUGGGGAAGGGAAGUAGAAGAGAGGAUGGGUGGUUGAGGCUACUUAUUUGCAUUCGGAAAACAAAGGGUGUGGGCUGUGCGUAUGCUUGUUUCUCGUUCUGCGUAACGAAGGACGAAGGAAGACCAAUCAAAAGCUUCUUUUCCGUGUUAUUCAUCCCUUCAAAACGUCCUGUCCUUAGAUCAAGGAACGAUGAUAAUUAUAAGAAUUGUAUAAAAUAAUAAAAGAUCAUUCGAAUAAUUGAUUUCAGAUAGAUAUCAUUGCUAUGAUAAAACAAUGUGUAUACGGUUAUUUAACAAUGAUUUGAUCUGAUUAUAGCUUAAUUAAAUGUACUUCCAAAUCCUGCGAUGUUUCAUUGGAUCAAAUGGCGGCUAAUUGGUCAUCUCCAAAUGUGCAGAUUAGUCCUUCAUUAUACUAUCAUCGAUGCUCAUGUUUCGUGUUCAUGAUUAUCUGAAUAACUGCGAAUUCCAUGAAACCGAUUACUUGAUAAUAAUUUUCACUCAAAUUUUCAAAACAAUUUUAUGUAGUCGUGUGAAAAAAGUUUAUAAUUUUUAUAUGCUAUUAUGUUGUCACAGAUAUAAAUAAAAUGCGGAAGCAAUAAACUAUUGAAAAAGUAUAACUUCGGUUUGUUCUACUUUUAAGUUACGUAAUAUCUAUAUACCUAAUUUUAUUACGAACUUAUCAUAUGUUUCGUAAGCUAUAUUUAUCUAUAAUAACAAAAGUAAUAUCUCACGUUUUUCGUUAAGAUAUUAGUAAUGUAAGAGUCGUGAUGUGUUUGAUCAUAAAAUAGAUACUGACGAGUAUAUAAGGUUCUGUAAAUGCAAGGAGUAGCAAGAAAAUAUUUUGCUUAACGUCAAAUACACUAAAACGUUAAUACAAAAAAAAA